rnacentral:SRP_RNA from 1 species
GAAUGGGAAGGGUGGGCAGAAAUCUCGCCAACCCGGUCAGGUCCGGAAGGAAGCAGCCGUAACGAAUCGUUUUUGGGUCACCCUUUCUACUAUGA